rnacentral:lncRNA from 1 species
GCGCGGCGCGGCGGGCGGAGGAGGAGUGCGCGAGGGCACCUUCUCUUCUCACUCUCCAAUAGCAUGUGGAAGAGAGACCCUUAUAAAGGGGUCCAAACUCUCCUCCACUAGCGGGGUGGGACUAAACUCCCACCACCUUGUCAUGCCACCACCUACAUGGGCCCUUGGAGAUUUUUCUGAAAUUCUCUAAUGGGCCUAAAGCCCACCUUCAAAUUUCAACACACUAGUGGGCCUAAAGCCCACCUCCAAAUUUCAACAAUCCCCCACCAGAUCUCAAGGGCACAUCGUG